AUGUUUGGUCACAAGACGACCAGUCUUGGCAAACCAUAUAUGCUGAGCCUUCCGAUCCCUGCACUCCGGUUGCUACCUGUGGACCUUGCAUGGUCUGUGACGACUGACGGCAAUAAGCAGCCAUCCUGUGACUUUAUGGAGAGCUUCUCUCAGAAGUCACCGCAGGAUUGGGAAAUUAAUGUUCGAACAGGAGGAUGCAUCAGAAAUACACCUUUAUAUUGCAGCACUAGUGGUAGCAACACAAACAUGACAAGUUCAACAGAUAUGUUCUACCCCAUUGCUCAAGUUACAUUGCCAUACAACCCGCAAAGCUUAGAUAAAAUAUAA
rnacentral:rRNA from 1 species